GCAAUAGUAGCUCAGCGCCAGAGCGCCG
rnacentral:tRNA from 4 species